rnacentral:rRNA from 1 species
UACGGAGGGUGCGAGCGUUUUUCGGAAUUAUUGGGCGUAAAGCGCGUGUAGGCGGUUUGUUAAGUCUGAUGUGAAAGCCCCGGGCUCAACCUGGGAAGUGCAUUGGAAACUGGCAGACUUGAAUACGGGAGAGGGUAGUGGAAUUCCUAGUGUAGGAGUGAAAUCCGUAGAUAUUAGGAGGAACACCGGUGGCGAAGGCGGCUGCCUGGACCGAUAUUGACGCUGAGACGCGAAAGCGUGGGUAGCAAACAGG